rnacentral:rRNA from 1 species
GAAAAGAACUUUGAAAAGAGAGUUAAACAGUACGUGAAAUUGUUGAAAGGGAAACGAUUGAAGCCAGUCGUACCGACGAGAAAUCAGCUCUUUUUGUGCGAACUUGUGGGCGUGCGUGAGCUUUACGGCCUCGCUGUUUGCUAUGUUUGUGCUCUUUGGGUGUACUUUUUCGUAUGGUAGGCCAAUGUCAGUUUCGAUUAUCAUAAAAUAAUUGGAGGAAUGUAGCUUCGAUCUCGUAUUGAAGUGUUAUAGCCUUUGGUAGAUGUAAUGAUCAAGAUCGAGGAUUGCAACGAAUACCCUUUGGGCUAUCCGUCUGGUCUCUGACACGUUGCCUUGGUAACGAAAGCUUGCUUACGUUAUUGAGGUAUUACGAUCAAAAGGCUAGAACGUGAUUACAUUC